rnacentral:tRNA from 1 species
GGGGGACGCUCUGGGGCUUUGCAGAAAGCGCGUUGCGCUCCAAACGCGACGGUCGGCGGGGUUCGAUUCCUCGGUCCCCUG